CUGGUUCUCACAAAGAACCAUUGGACACUGUACAUAUAUGACCUAUCAAACAAGAGAAUCCAAUUGCUAGAUUCUUGUCCUGGUAGGAAGAAGACAACUUUGAGUGGAAUUCAACAAAAUCUGGCUAAGGUUGUCCUAUGGUUGGCUGCACAAAAAAAAAAAGAUAUCACCUUAUGAUUUGAGGACAUUCAAUUUCCUAACACCUGAUGUACCCCUCCAGCCUAAUGAGUGAGUGUUGACCUUGUAGUCCGGGAUGAUGUUAAAAUGGAUUGCAACUUAUUUGAAGUUCCUCUCUUAUUUAUAAUUCCAUACUUAAUAAUGUUUUGGUAAUGAUAUUGACGUAGGCACGAUUGCGGAGUUUUUGUAAUGAAAUUCAUGGAGUUGUGGUCAAUGGGCAGGUUCUCCAAAUCAAUCGAUGUGGGGAAAUUGAAACAUUAUAGGUUGAAGAUUAUGGGGAGUAUGUUGUUUUCAACACAAAAUGCACACCAAGACCAUGUCCGAAGGGAUUAAUGGGGAUUGUAAUUUGUGACGAGACUGUAUAAAGUUAGCACAUUUGUAUGUAAUUUAUGGUGGACAAACGUAGUUCUUUAAAUGUUUUUUUAUGGUGCCACAUGCGGAAAUGAACACCGGGAUUAUGGGAUUAGUAGGAGUUUGACUGCUUUUUGACUUAAGUUGAUUGUCAUUGCAUUGUAAGUAAAC